UACGAAGGGUGCAAGCGUUACUCGGAAUUACUGGGCGUAAAGCGUGCGUAGGUGGUUCGUUAAGUCUGAUGUGAAAGCCCUGGGCUCAACCUGGGAAUGGCAUUGGAAACUGGCGACCUAGAGUGCGGUAGAGGGUAGUGGAAUUCCCGGUGUAGCAGUGAAAUGCGUAGAGAUGUGGAGGAACACCGAUGGCGAAGGCAGCCUCCUGGGCCAGCACUGACGCUCAUGCACGAAAGCGUGGGGAGCAAACAGG
rnacentral:rRNA from 1 species